GACGAACGCUGGCGGCGUGCUUAACACAUGCAAGUCGAACGGAAAGGCCCUGCUUUUGUGGGGUGCUCGAGUGGCGAACGGGUGAGUAACACGUGAGUAACCUGCCCUUGACUUUGGGAUAACUUCAGGAAACUGGGGCUAAUACCGGAUAGGAGCUCCUGCUGCAUGGUGGGGGUUGGAAAGUUUCGGCGGUUGGGGAUGGACUCGCGGCUUAUCAGCUUGUUGGUGGGGUAGUGGCUUACCAAGGCUUUGACGGGUAGCCGGCCUGAGAGGGUGACCGGCCACAUUGGGACUGAGAUACGGCCCAGACUCCUACGGUAGGCAGCAGUGGGGAAUAUUGCGCAGUGGGCGGGAGCCUGAUGCAGCAACGCCGCGUGCGUUAUGACGGCCUUCGGGUUGUAAACCGCUUUCGCCUGUGACGAAGCGUGAGUGACGGUAAUGGGUAAAGAAGCACCGGCUAACUACGUG
rnacentral:rRNA from 1 species